GUGCGCACUUCGGCAGCACAUGGACUAAAACUGGAACGAAACAGAGAAGAUUAACAUGGGGCCUGCGCAAGGAUGAAAUCUGGGCCCAGGGGGGACAGCAGAGACUG